CCUACGGGAGGCUGCAGUGGGGAAUAUUGCACAAUGGGCGCAAGCCUGAUGCAGCCAUGCCGCGUGUGUGAAGAAGGCCUUCGGGUUGUAAAGCACUUUCAGCGGGGAGGAAGGCGGUGAGGUUAAUAACCUCAUCGAUUGACGUUACCCGCAGAAGAAGCACCGGCUAACUCCGUGCCAGCAGCCGCGGUAAUACGGAGGGUGCAAGCGUUAAUCGGAAUUACUGAGCGUAAAGCGCACGCAGGCGGUCUGUCAAGUCUGAUGUGAAAUCCCCGGGCUCAACCUGGGAACUGCAUUCGAAACUGGCAGGCUAGAGUCUUGUAGAGGGGGGUAGAAUUCCAGGUGUAGCGGUGAAAUGCGUAGAGAUCUGGAGGAAUACCGGUGGCGAAGGCGGCCCCCUGGACAAAGACUGACGCUCAGGUGCGAAAGCGUGGGGAGCAAACAGGAUUAGAUACCCCGGUAGUC
rnacentral:rRNA from 1 species